AACGUAGGAGACAAACGUUAUCCGGAGUUACUGGGCGUAAAGGGCGUGCAGGCGGUCGACUAAGUCUGGGGUGAAAGCUCUCGGCUAAACCGGGAGAGGUCGUUGGAUACUGGUUGACUAGAGGACGGUAGAGGCGUGUGGAAUUCCGGGUGUAGUGGUGAAAUGCGUAGAGAUCCGGAGGAACACCAGUGGCGAAGGCGACUACCUGGCCUGUUAUUGACGCUGAGGCGCGAAAGCUAGGGGAGCAAACGGG
rnacentral:rRNA from 1 species